UGGACAUUUCAAACUCUUGCGUAACUUUGCAGUCUGAGUAAAUUUAAUUAAUAAAUUAAAACUUUCAACAACGGAUCUCUUGGUUCUGGCAUCGAUGAAGAACGCAGCGAAAUGCGAUAAGUAAUGUGAAUUGCAGAAUUCAGUGAAUCAUCGAAUCUUUGAACGCACAUUGCGCCCCCUGGUAUUCCGGGGGGCAUGCCUGUUCGAGCGUCAUUUCACCACUCAAGCCUCGCUUGGUAUUGGGCGACGCGGUCCGCCGCGCGCCUCAAAUCGACCGGCUGGGUCUUUCGUCCCCUCAGCGUUGUGGAAACUAUUCGCUAAAGGGUGCCGCGGGAGGCCACGCCGUAAAACAACCCCAUUUCUAAGGUUGACCUCGGAUCAGGUAGGGAUACCCGCUGAACUUAAGCAUAUC
rnacentral:rRNA from 1 species